rnacentral:rRNA from 1 species
AUUGAACGCUGGCGGCAGGCCUAACACAUGCAAGUCGAGCGGAUGAAGGGAGCUUGCUCCUGGAUUCCGCGGCGGACGGGUGAGUAAUGCCUAGGAAUCUGCCUGGUAGUGGGGGAUAACGUCCGGAAACGGGCGCGAAUACCGCAUACGUCCUGAGGGAGAAAGUGGGGGAUCUUCGGACCUCGCGCUAUCAGAUGAGCCUAGGUCGGAUUAGCUAGUGGGUGGGGUAAAGGCCUACCAAGGCGACGAUCCGUAACUGGUCUGCGAGGAUGAUCAGUCACACUGGAACUGAGACACGGCCCAGAUCCCUACGGGAGGCAGCAGUGGGGAAUAUUGGACAAUGGGCGAAAGCCUGAUCCAGCCAUGCGGCGUGUGUGAAGAAGGUCUGCGGAUUGUAAAGCACUUUAAGUUGGGAGGAAGGGCAGUAAGUUAAUACCUUGCUGUUUUGACGUUACCAACAGAAUAAGCACCGGCAACCAUCGU